CGAGUCUCAAUAUAAACUAAGAGAAGAGUACCAUACAAUAGAUAUAGCAGUAGUGAAACCUGCAUAUUACAUGUUAAUGUCUUCAAUGUUUAAUACCAAAUACAAACCACAUAGAUAAAUAGCCACAUCUACAUUUCCUGCUGCUAUGCGUGUGACAAGUGGGAAGGAUAUGGUUGAGCUUACUCCAGCAGCAAGGAAAAGAAAUGGGUAAUUAAUUUCAUAGAAAAUGCACCUUCUUAAAUCUUGACUCCACUCCCUGCGGAACGUGGGCUAUCGCGGAGACCGCUCACCUCCCUCCUUAAAAAGCAUGGCAAUGCAAAAGCAGCUUCAUGCAUCUCAGAAUUGUAAAACUUGAGUUCCCGCUGAUGCUGGAGAGCGCCCUCUAACUUCUCAAUAGGAUUAACAGGGUGCUUAAAAUCAACAAAUGGUCCCUCAGUUGAGCACAGAAGAAACCCAAUAACGCCACUAGGAUAUGUAGGAACACUGGCCCAUGCAUAAUGAACAGAACUAAAUGUUUCACGGCAAAUUGAGAUCAUAUCUUGAAUAAGAUGAGUAUGAAGCCACAUGCUCUCUGCCAUGUUGCAAAGUACACCGCCAGGCCUUAAUGCCCUGGCUAUCUUUGCAAAGAAUGGUCCUUCAACAAGCUCUAUUGCAGGACCUACAGGAUCUGAUGAAUCAACUAUGAUAGCAUCAUACUUCCCUUCAGGUGUGUUCUUCAGAAAUUCAACAGCAUCACCAACAUGAAGAUUGACACGAGGAUCCUCAAAGCCAAUAGCCAAAUCUGGAAAAUACUUUUUACUGACAUCUAUAACCAUUUUAUCAAUCUCACAAAUAUCAAUCAGCUCCACAGAGCUAUGUCGAGAAAUUUCCCUUAGAACUCCACCAUCACCACCCCCAACAACCAGAACCUUCUUAGGAGAUUUGAUUGAACAAAGAGGAAGAUGGGCUAUCAUCUCCUGAUAGGCACAUUCAUCUUUCUCAGUCAACUGAACAAUGCCAUCUAGCACUAGAACUUUUCCAUAGGAUGCAGACUCAAAAACCAAAACCUCCUGGAAUUCUGACUUUCCCUUGAACAAAACCUUUUCUACUUUCAGGGAAUGUGCUUCUCCUGGCCACAUUGGAUUGUUGAAGUACAGUACCUUCUCUUUACCAUCAAAUGAUGUAGGAGGUUGAGAGAACCAUCCAGAAACAACAGUAGAGUGACAAUUGGCUUCAAGUUCAGGAUCAAAUACCCUAGCCUUCAAGCAACAUUUAGGAAUACCAACUUUGUUUGAACCAUUAACACCAUUAUUCUCCUUCCCAUCCAUAGUCCUCCGGCUGUCCAAACCUCUUCCUUCUUCGAGCUCCGUAAAUUAUAAUCUUAUUGGAAUCCAGCCUCCAACAACCUCACGAUAUCUUCAGGCAAAAAUUGAAACUCCACAGGAAGAUUAGAGAACUAAACCAAGUAUUAAUAAGCAAAUGGAACCCAAAUCAAACACUUUCCAACUGGGAACUCCACUCUUACUUCACCAAAAUACAAUAAAAGCAGCGUUGAAUUAACGCAGAACCAACACUUAGCAAAAAAAAAUUCAAAAAGAAGAAGGAAUCCGAGAGAGAAAGAGAAGGGAAAAAAAAACGUUACAGGCAAAAAGCUUUGGUUUGG
rnacentral:misc_RNA from 1 species